GAUGAACGCUGGCGGCGUGCUUAACACAUGCAAGUCGAACGAUGAAGCUCAGCUUUCUGGGUGGAUUAGUUGCGAACGGGUGAGUAACACGUGAGUAACCUGCCCUUAACUCUGGGAUAAGCCUGGGAAACUAGGUCUAAUACCGGAUAGGAGCGCCUACCGCAUGGUGGGUGUUGGAAAGAUUUAUCGGUUUUGGAUGGACUCGCGGCCUAUCAGCUUGUUGGUGAGGUAAUGGCUCACUAAGGCGACGACGGGUAGCCGGCCUGAGAGCGUGACCGGCCACACUGCGCCUGAGACACGCCCCAGACUCCUACGGGAGGCAGCAGUGGGGAAUCUUGCACAAUGGGCGCACGCCUGAUGCAGCGACGCCGCGUGCGGGAUGACGGCCUUCGGGUUGUAAACAUCUUUCAGUAGGGAAGAAGCGAACGUGACGGUACCUGCAGAAGAAGCCCCGGCUAACUACGUG
rnacentral:rRNA from 1 species